rnacentral:rRNA from 1 species
AACAGGAUUAGAUACCCUGGUAGUCCACGCCGUAAACGAUGUCGACUUGGAGGUUGUGCCCUUGAGGCGUGGCUUCCGGAGCUAACGCGUUAAGUCGACCGCCUGGGGAGUACGGCCGCAAGGUUAAAACUCAAAUGAAUUGACGGGGGCCCGCACAAGCGGUGGAGCAUGUGGUUUAAUUCGAUGCAACGCGAAGAACCUUACCUACUCUUGACAUCCAGAGAACUUAGCAGAGAUGCUUUGGUGCCUUCGGGAACUCUGAGACAGGUGCUGCAUGGCUGUCGUCAGCUCGUGUUGUGAAAUGUUGGGUUAAGUCCCGCGACGAGCGCAACCCUUAUCCUUUGUUGCCAGCGGUCCGGCCGGGAACUCAAAGGAGACUGCCAGUGAUAAACUGGAGGAAGGUGGGGAUGACGUCAAGUCAUCAUGGCCCUUACGAGUAGGGCUACACACGUGCUACAAUGGCAUAUACAAAGAGAAGCGACCUCGCGAGAGCAAGCGGACCUCAUAAAGUAUGUCGUAGUCCGGAUUGGAGUCUGCAACUCGACUCCAUGAAGUCGGAAUCGCUAGUAAUCGUGGAUCAGAAUGCCACGGUGAAUACGUUCCCGGGCCUUGUACACACCGCCCGUCACACCAUGGGAGUGGGUUGCAAAAGAAGUAGGUAGCUUAACCUUCGGGAGGGCGCUUACCACUUUGUGAUUCAUGACUGGGGUGAAGUCGUAACAAGGUAACC